rnacentral:rRNA from 1 species
UGUAGGUGAACCUGCGGAAG